rnacentral:misc_RNA from 1 species
CCACCAGAUAAGCCCACAAGCCAAAACAGGACAUACCUCCUCCUCGGGCUGACCUCCGAUAAUUAGUUCAUCACCAAGUUACCAAAAGUCCCAUUCGUACACAGCCACAGAGAAACCACUCUCUCCUUCCAUGGCUACCAUCAGUCUCUCCUUCCGUUUUCCACCUCUUCCUAAAUUGUCUCCUCCACUCCACCACCGGGUUGACUUUUCCGUCUUGACUUGGACUAGAAUCGCUACCUUGAGAACUUGUGCUACGGGAGGGGACUUGCUGGGUGAUUUUGGGGCCAGAGACCCUUUCCCUGCAGAGUUAGAGAGUGGAUUUGCGGAGAAAGUGGUAGGCAAUGUUGAUACUGAGCAUAAGAUUCUUAUUCCCAAUAUCUCUGCUCUGUCUCUUUCCCAGCAAGAGUGCACCCCUAUAUCUCCCUUACUGGAUCCCAUGUCUAAGGAUGAUGCCCAAAAGCUCUUGAAGAAGGUUUUUGGCUGGAGACUCCUGGAUGAAGAAGAUGGGCUUAAACUGCAAUGCUUGUGGAAAUUGAGAGAUUUUAAAUGUGGGGUUGAACUUAUCAAUAGAAUUUACAAGGUUACAGAAUCUUCUGGGCAUUUUCCGAAUCUGCAUUUGGAACAGACCAACCAAGUUAGAGCUGAACUAUGGACUUCCUCCAUUGGAGGCCUGAGUAUGAAUGAUUUCAUUGUAGCUGCCAAAAUUGAUGAGAUUAAGACAUCAGAUCUUGCCCCUAGAAAAAGAAUAUGGGCAUAAUUGGAACAAAUCUUUAAUCCUGAAGAAACCGAAAAGAUCUGUACGUUGAUAAAAAGUGGUGUUUCAGCAUCUAAUGACCAUAGAGGUUCAUGUUGUUGCAAUUUAUAUGAAAGCUUUCUGUGUUAUUUUCCCCAUUAAUCUUCUUCGAG